rnacentral:rRNA from 1 species
ACAAAAACAUGGCCUCUCGGAAGGAAUAUGAGGUCGCACCUGCUCGAUGUGAAUCAAUGGCCGCAGUAUUUUGACUGUGCUAAGGUAGCGUAAUCACUUGCCUUUUAAUCGGAGGAUUGCAUGAAGGGUUUGACGUAGGGGUAACUGUCUCCUAGGUAAUAGAGUGAAAUUGAAUAUUGGGUUAAAAUGCCCAAAUGACGUGGAGGGACGAAAAGACCCUAAGAUCUUAGCCAGAGACCUUGCUUAAAGGUGUGGUCUCUAGUUUUCCAGGGAAGGGUCACACGAACAAACCGUUGUUAAGUGGAAGGCACCCAGGCCAAAUAGAGAACCCCAAUGGGGAAGAAGGAAAAAGUUACCUUAGGGAUAACAGCAGGAUACCAACCAGGAAGAUCGGAUUUUUGGUAGGGCUUCUGACCUCGAUGUUGAAUUAAGGUUUCAUCCAGGAGCAGGAAUUUGGACAGUGGGAUCGUUCAUCCUUUAAAACCUUACGUGAUCUGA